UUUUUAUUUGUUUUUCUGAAUUUUAUAUAUUAGUUAUUUAAAAGGAAUGAUUUUAAAUAAAGUUUAUAUUUUAUAAUAAAAGACGUUUCUUCUUUACAUACCGUUUUCAAAUUAUGGCCUGCUUUUUGAUUUUUGGCCUUUUUCUUCUUAUAGCUGUUGCAUGCCCAAUUGCCCAUGGUAAAUCCCAGCGUGUUGCCUGUUGGUUAUGCAAAGUUGUAGGUAGGCUACGCGUUGUCCUUUUCCCAAUUUGAUUUUUUUUACCGUUCGGAGCACGGUUCAGAGGUGUAGAUAGAUAGAGAUAAUUUCCAAACUGAAGAGGGUCGACUUUAAAAACCAUAAUUCGAGUAGAGAUUGGAGUUGAAGGAAAAAUAUUACGGAUCGAAGCCUAUACGGACUGGAUAGGCGAAAAAAAGAUGUCUGCUGGACUGAAAUUUUCAUAAUUAUAUAUUAGAAGAAAGAUUGUAGAUUUCGUUCAUUUUAAUUUUCUAGACAUAAUUUAUAAUUUUCGGUACCGAGAAUAAAAAUUUGUUAGACAAAAUUAUAAAUCUGACAAAUGUAUUUGAUCAAAGUUAAUAUUGUUUGACUCCUGAUAAAUGAGAAUAAGCAUUCUUUUAGGCACGGACAAAGAAAUUUAUCCACAAACAUGCGUGAAGAUGUGCUGUACAUACUAUGUACCCGUACUCCGUGAUGUACAAAACUAGGACCAGCAGAGGCUAAUUGUCUCUAUAGCAGCAGGCUACAAUAAUUUGUCUCCGUGGUCCAAAACGUGGGAAGCCUGUUAAGUGGUUGUUUGGUUCACAUAUUUGUUCACUUGUCUAAGUUGUAUUUUUUCUAACAGCCAACAGUGUUUUUCUUUCAUAAUAAAUCAGCGAAGAAUAUUUUCAACUAUAACUUUUCAGAUCAGCGAACAUGCUAGUCUCAUUUACUUUCAUUUAGUCAUUUUUUAUCUAAACACUAUAACUAAAUGAGGUUAAAUGGACUUUAGUCAUCUCUAGCAAUUCUGGAAUAACUAAAUAAGACUAAACUAUUUAGAAGGGACUAAAGUUUAGCAGCCCGAAAAACACCCGUGAUGUCCAUCCAUCCAUUAUAUAAGUUGUUGCUAGGCAGCUAGGGUCUUAGUAUUUUCGUUUUAUUUUAGUAAUUAGUAUCUAAUUAUGGAAUCUCUAGAUUUAAAAGAUCCAUCUCAUAAUUUAUAGAUAACUUGUACAAUUAGUUUUUUUAUCUAUAUCUAAUGUUGUAUGCAUGUGUCCAAGAUUUGAUGUGAUAGAUGAAAAGUUUUUAGGUGAAACUAAACAAGGCCCAGGUAUAACUAGGGACGGGAUAGAUAUGCAGCCAACUACGUGACGACAAAAUCUCGAGGAGCUGACACAGAUAUAUGGACUAGAUAGAUUUUAAUAAUAUAAUAGUACGUAUCAAUAAUGUAGGAAAUAAUGGUAUACUAUACUAGUUCAUAGGAUUCAACUGAAUAUUUUUGACAACAACGUCGUAUUGUGUUUGAUACUUCCACGCAACUACAGGUUAUUAGUGGCGUCGGUCCACGAAUGUGUACGUGCACGCCGCCUUUCGUUCAAGAUAUACUAUAUGUUAAUUCUGUAUUUGUUUGUAUAUAUAUAUACGCUUAAUUAUAAGACAGCGAUAGGCAACGGAAUAUAUAUAUACACACACGAAGAAAAAUCGCUGGAGUAAAGAUAGAAGCUUGUGUAGAUAUUCUCGCUAUGGAGUAGUAGUUCCAAUCAUAUAUAUAUUGUGCCGCUGUGAGAAGUAGCCAAUCACCAAACAGGAGUGCUCAGCUCACUGAUGGCACGUCGUCUAUCCGUAGAGGCGUAGACGGGUGCAUGAGUGCAAAUGGACAUGCAUGGUUUCGAGGACUUCCCAACACACCCACAGGGCCACAGCCCACAGGUGAUGUUUGUCUCCAUGUUUCCCUCCUAUUUCCGCUGCUAUUAAUUCUCGUUGCUACGUGUUUGUUUCAGCAGCAGCGGAGCCAUUCGCACAAGGGUCGAAUCCGGAUACCGGAAACGUCGUUACCGCCCACUCCAGGCCUUAUCGGUUUAGGGCAUGUACAAUCUAGAUAGGGUCCGUCUCUAAGACCAGUCGCAAUGUAUAGUUUCAUGGUAGUUACCAAGACUAUAAACUAGGUAACCGAGUCAUAUGAGUUUUAUGAGGAUGAAAACUCCUCUCUCAUCUGAUGAGACUGCUUCAUUUAAUGACCCUGUCAAGUCAGCAAUUUUGCUUAUGUGGCACCUUAUUUAAUGUGCAUGAUACUCUCAUGAAACAUGCAUUGAGAUUGACCUAAGUAUCUCGAAUCUAUGAUACAGACAGAUAUAAAGACAGAUUAUACAAUCCAUACUUGGGGGUUCUAAGGCAUUUAAUAAUUUGCAUGUAGCUAAGAUCAACUAUGGAUAUCAACUUGUAUACCACUGUGUGGCCGUUUGAUAGAAGACAAGUUCAAGUAUAAAUAAGAUGAACAUAAUUAUAAUAUUUUAAAACCACUAAUAUAAUAUAUAUUAUAUAUAAAGAUGAACAUAAUUACAUAAGCACACUCAAAGAGGUCAGUCCACCUAAUAAUCUUGUGCCAUGGAUCCUUGCAUUGCUUUAGAUUCCUUUUCCUACGGGGUGGAGCUGUCUUGUUGUAUGAUUGAACAACAUCAGACCAAUAUUGGUUGCCACCUAUAUUAGCUCCACAGGUCGAAACUGUUGAAUGUUCUAUCCAAGAGCUCAUGCAUCAAGCUGACAUCCUCAUUCUUUUUCCAAGGAAUUUGCUUCUCAGUCCUAGCAUUUUCAUCAUCAGUGUCAACUAGUUCAGGCUACUGCUUGUCCACUCUCUCUACUUCUACUGGUAAAAUUUCUUCAUGGUUGUGAACAGGUGCACCAACCUAAAAAUUGUGUGGCUGGUUUCCAAAGUAACUCAUAAACCCACCAGGUGGGCAUGGGUCGUCUUUAUCCCUGCAGGAAACAUAACAUCACUAAAAUGACUCUAUACAACAUUACUUUAAUUUGCACUAUCUGCUUCUCAUUCACACUAACAAAUAUCAAAUAGUUUAUAAGAAACAGAGCAUUAGUUUCAUUCUCAAACAUUUGCAACAAACAUCAUAGACCUUCAAAAGGAUCUAUGACACUACAUGCAGGGAAUAAAAUAUGUCAUUUGUCAACCAUGAUGAUCUGACCAGGAUGAACACACAUGCAGCCCAUAGCCACCCUCCUGCUAUUCUUCCCCAAAUAAGAUGAAACAAAUUGCAAUAUAUACAACUUAGCACAUUCAGCAGCUACCAAAGCUCUGUUCACAUUCAGAUACAGCUAGCAAGUUCACGCAGGUUCACAUUCAGAUAAUAACUAGCAAAGCUCUAUUCACUAACAGAUAAGAUAGAAUUUCACUAACAGAUAGGAGCAAGUCCAGAUCAAUUCACAGGUCAGGUGAUUAACAAGAUGGAUCCCAAGCUGCUGAGCGCACAAACGAAGGAGAAGCUGGAUCAACGUUGGUCGAAUUCCACCAAGCAGUAGAUGGUGAAGUGGGGAAUGGAAACCCACCGAAGACGAUGGAACCGUCGCAGCACUGGGGAAGGCACCUCCACUAGAUGUACCAAUGGAGAUAGGAGGUGUUGCCAUGCUGUUGCUGAGGGAACAGGAGAUGGGGGUACCCCGGUGCCACCACCGCUGAUCCACUUCCGCGACCUAGGGUUCAGCCCAGGGCAUCCGCGCCCAACGAUGAGCCUCCACCACGACUGAGGUUGUAGUUCGACGCCGUCGAGAUGGCUCCGCGACCGAAGGUGUGCACCGGGAACACCGCUAUCGCUGUCGCCGCAGUUGACGCAACAAUGGGGGUGUCCUUGCUCUUCUUGUUUGUGGAAGCUAGUUUGCACUUCCUCGCUGAGGUGCUAAACAUCGCAGCCACCAAAGGUUGGGGUGCCCGAUUGAGAAAGAAAGCUAGAGUGUUGUGGCUGCUUCACCGGUGAAAUAGGGAUGAGGCAGAGACGGAUUUGGCGGGACUGCUCCCUCCCAUGCGCGCCAAAACUUCAUUAGCAUGCACGCGAGUGCCCCAGAUCCGCGCGCCGUCGAGACAAGGGGACGACUCCUACAAUGCUGCUCGGCUGGUCUCCUUUGCAUCGGUGCAUGGGACGGCUCCGUCGCUUCACGAGACGACGGAAUAGUCGUCUUCAGGCCACAACGGCACAACAGAUUUUUUUUGUAAAAGUACCCACGAAAGGACGGGGUGAAGAGUUUUUAUAAAAGUACCCACGAAAGGACGGGGUGAAGAGCCCCGUUGUACAUACCCUUAUUACGCAACUCACGUGAGAAUGGAUAAAGGAUAUCUUAGGUUGGAUCCUAUGAACUAAUAAGUAUAAUUGAAAGUUUAGUCUUUAAAGAUCUAAACAAAUGAACUAGUUAGUGAGCUAACAACUAGCGAAAGCCUCAACUAAUUGUUACUUCACUAGCAUAUAGAGCCCAACUAGUUGGGCUAAUCACUAAUUCUAGUUCAUCCAAACAGCUCCUUAACCAACCAAACAAAUUGUCGUUUUUCAUUUCAGGCAACAGGUAGGGGCGGCACCCAUUUUCAUUUGCAGUACAGCCCCGAACUAAACAGAGAAAGAGAGACACACAUUUGGCGGCCAAAAAAUCUGGGUUUUGAUCUAUCAUUUUGCAUAAUAAAACUAAACAUCAUGCAAAAAUUUUUAGCAAAAAAAAUUAUUCUUCAUUUUGGAUUUUGGUCUCAGGAGGCCAAAAGCCCAAAAGAGUUACAAGAGACCAUAAUAAGAGCAAUAAAUUCUGUAUUCUAGACAAAACUAAAUAUAACCUUAAAAAUGUUAGUAUUUAGUAUUUUAUCAUUUCAAGGUAGUCGGCAUUUUGCAUUUUGCAUUUUAUGGGAAAUUAAACACCCCCUAGCACAACCAAAUCGUCAACUCCCAACACUGCAGGCUUGAUGGAGCAUCAUUACCACGCUUCGGUUGAAGCUAAGAGCUGCAAAGCAUUUGCCAGUGCCAUUACCACCACCAUUUCAUGUUGCAUGGCUUGACCGGUCGUAAGAGUCCCAUGCACGUCGCAACUCGCACAGGCAUUGCUCUUGCUCGCGGUGCCAUGAUUGCGCCUUUCACAAACUCAUAGUUGAUCAAUUGGAGCACUUGCGAUUAUUGAAUCAUUAUUGUACUACCAUUUAGUAUGAGAUUUGAAAUUUACUUAAUUUAAUUGGAUAAAUAACAGGCCAUAUCUAAUUAAUUAAGUCCAAGAGCUAACAAUUCCAGGCUGUAAUUAAUUGUGCGAGAUGAUGUGUUCCUAGUCCACGAUGACCUUGAGAAGGACAUUGAGGAAGACGAAGGCUGCAAACGAGAUCCUAGUUUCCAUAUCUGCCAGGGAUGGGAUUUCGGUGAGCUAGCUUAAAUAUAGAGUAUUAUGGCAUCUAGAAAUUAACAAUAAUACAGCAAUGCUUUACAGCACUCAAGUGUUUUACAGCAAUUCAACACUCAAUUCCUUUCUGUUCUCUUCCUCUCCCUCUCUUCUUCUCUAACUCUGGCAAGCUUAGAUGAGACUGUGGGAGGCAGGUCGGCCAAAUGGUGGAAACGGCAGGAGGACGACGGUUAGAGUUCCAGCGGUGUAGGAGGCGGUCGAACUAGGUCAGGGCGAGGGCAUCUAUGGCCAUACGACGGUGAGGGGAGGAGAAGAAGAAGGUUGUUGUGGGCGUAAUAGGGUCUCAUCGGAGCUCAAGACCCUACUGCACUGAGGCGGGGCAGUGGACGACGGUAGGGCAUCGGGAGGAGGAAGAGGACGAUGAAGAAAAAAUCAAGUGUUCUCGAGAGCCAAAACACUCAAGCGACAGAUGAUAGAUCCUAAUAUAGAAAUGCAACAAUGUAUCCAAAGUAUGGAGGCACUGCUGUGUUUGUUAUUCCCAUCCUAGAGGUAAUCUUUGGUGUCCACAGGGAGAUAUUUAUUUUGUUCGUGCCUCUCGAGCCUCACCAUAUCAAUUCUAAUUAUGUUUCCGUCUAAUGCUCCGUAUAUAUAAUACGCUAAUAAGAUAGUGAAAUAGACGAAACUGAUCGACACAUUAGGUUUUUUUUACAACAAAUAUUUUUCAUUUGAGCAGCAGGACGCUGCAAUCAGUCUAACAGACUGAAGGUUUACAUCUAUCAGAUGCAUCAGGAAUGGGCACUGAUAGGUAAGGCUCUGAUGAGAGCAUACAUGAUGGAAGAAAGAUUCAACAGGAACAAUAACUGAGAAAGCCUGUCUAUCUAAAGCAUAUGUUGUAUUAUUUAUGUUCCUAUUGAUUUUGAAGAUCAUGGCAUGACAUUGAUCACCUGUGUUCCUGAACAUCUGGGUGAAAAAGGUUUUAUCCUCCAGUCUACAGGAUGUUCUUGGUCAUCUUCAUGUAGGAAUUGUACUAGCUGCUGGUUAUUAGUGAGAAAGGUGGUGUCAGUGAAGUUGAGUCGUUCACUAACAACUGCUGCUAGAGCAAGUGCUACAACUUCCGCCAUGAGGACUGAGUGGACUUCCAAGGCUUGUGCUGUGAUGUAGAUGGUUUGUGUGGUUGUACCUAUGGAUUGACAAAAAAUCCCAAGUCCUAUAGCUAUAUACUGCCUGGUUGGUUGGUCAUACCUUAAGGAGGCAUCAAUGAAGCAUCUGACUCCUUGGAUGAGCUCCAAUAUAGAGAUGAAGUAUUUGUCUGUCUAAGGUGAAGCUCUUGCAUUAGAUGUGAUAAUACCUGGUGAAGUCGGGGUGGCUUGAUUUGUGAGCAUCAUUUUCUAGGGGGUUUGUGCUUGUUGUUCCUCCAUAGGGUGUGAGGUGCAGGUUCCUCCUGUUGGUGCUGCAUGUGAUCAGGUGCAGGCGUCUCCAUCUGUUGAGGUGUGUGGCUGUGAUCCUACGAAGUAAUAGCAAUGGCAGUUUGCGUACCUUGUGCAGUCAUUUGUGGGGGUUGAGGUGGGAUAAGUAGAGUGUCGGUUUGGUGGCUGCUAAUGUGGGCUACGACCACAUGGUGUACCUGCCAUGGAGUCCAAGUUUUUCUGUGAAAUCAAAUAUCAUUCCUAGCUUUCCACAAAUACCAGAAAGUGAUUAGUAAUUUGUUGAAUACAGUAGAUGGGAUGGCGGCGGGGAUGAAGCUUGGUAGGAUUAGUUGCACGCCAUUAGUAUCUUGAGGUAAAUUGUCAGUGCAAAGAAGGGGAUUUGAUGAGAAUACUGUUGUGGGAGGUGAUAGUGGAAGAAUAGGUGGGCAUCAUCCUCCACCACGCCAUAGGAACAUAGUGCUUGUCUAUGUGGGGGAGUAUCUCGCUGCUUGUUUUGUUGUAGCUAGGGCUCUUUUGAUGAGUCUCCAAGUGAAGGAUUUAACUAGAGAUGGUGGCUCCUUACUAUUCCAUUCUCUCUGCAUAAUGGAGUUAGCAUGGGGUCCACCUCAAGAUGUCAUGACCAUCACUAUGAAUAGUUGGUGUUACAGUUAUGACCUGUACAUCCUAAGCAUCAAAGAUGUUAGUGAUGAGGUGAACAUUCGUGUUAUGGGAAUUUGGUUGCUAAAGAUUAGAGAAAUGGUUGGCAUUGGAGAUUGAGUAGCUAGCAGGAUCAUGUGGUCAUGGAUAGAGUUCCGAAUGGGCACCAAGGGGUGGACCAUAUAGAACUGUUACUUGAAUGGAUCUAGUAGACAGAGUUGGAGCGAAGUUUAGUUUUGACCUACAAAAUAGAAGACCAGAAGAUUGAUCUAGGACCAGUGGUGUUGGCUUUCCAAAAGGAGGUGUUGUGGAACUAUUUAGCCUUAAGGACAGAGGUGAGCAUGGGGUUUUUAUUAGUAGCAAUGUUUGCCAAGACCCCCAUUCUUCUUGGGCUAGCAAAUGUCUUCCCAAGACAUGAACGCAAUGGGAGAUGUAGGGUUGUCUUUCUAGACUCUAGUGCACCAAAAUUUCCUGAUUAUAGUGUUGAUUUUACCUAUCAUAGUAUUAGAAAAUAGCACAGUACACAUGUAGUAUACAGGGACCAAAGCUAGGACAGAUUUGAUGUAAGUCAGUCUCCCUGCAUGAUUAAGCUUGUUAGCUUUCACAGUAGUUAACUUAGCUCUAAAUUUUUUAAGAAUAAACUCAUAAACCUUAUUCCGAUCAUUACGAUUAAAAUAAUCAGGUGGCCCAAGGUGCAUGCUAUUAGGAAGGAGGUCAGGGGUAGGAAAGAUGUUCCUGAUAUCAUUUCUAGUGGUCAAAGGCACCUUUUUACUAAAAAGGAUUGAGGACUUCUAAAGAUUGGGAGUUUGCCUAGAGAGGUGGCAAAAGUCUUGUAAAAUGUCCCAGAUUUUGGUGGCUUCAAUGAUGGAGGCCUCGCCACAUAAGAUUAGAUCAUCAACAAAGAGAAGAGAGUGAAUGGGAGGGCAACUAGGACCAAGGGAAAUGCCCAAAAAAUUGGAGUAAUGAGUUCAGUUUGAAGGUGAAUGGAUAGCUCAUUGGUGGCCACAACAAAAAGACAAUGAGAGAGGGGGCAGCCCGGGCGAAUACCAUGAUGGGGAGUGAAGGAGGUGGAAGGCUCUCCAUUGAUAAGGAUGGAGAAAGUAGUAGUGGAAAUACAAGCUUGAAUGAGGUUGGUGAAAUUGGAGGGCAGCCCAAGACGAUUUAGAGAGUCCCAAUUCAGACAAUCAAACGUUUGGCCAGGUCAAGCUUGAGAUAAAAAAGCUUGCUGGUUCCAGUUUUUUAGGUUGGAAGAGAUGUGCCUGUGUUUUGAUGAAUGCAACUUAAGAUUAUUGAGUCAAUCGACAGCAACUUUGGCGUUUAGUAGAACACAGCAUGGUGCCAAGAUGAUACUACGAUGUCAGCAAAAACUUGUGGGAUCCACCAUUUAGUAAACGAUUAAAGAAAUUUUGAUUUCUUUUUUGUCGUUUCUGCACACCUCCAUGCCUACCAUACGUGUACUGUGUUGUUUUCAGUGGCGGAGGCAGCUGGCAAGGUUCGGCCUCCGCCGUACCUAAAAUGUAUAGAAAACACUAGUAUAUUAUGUGUAUAUACGGUUAUACACGUGAAAUAUACAUGGCUUAGCCUCUGCCACUGUGCACGAAUAGAUUUUGUUUGUGGGCUGGUAUCUCGUGGGCUUACACGACUACGAGCCCGUUCGCUUCUUAGCUGUACUUUUUUUCAGUGAUUUUUUUUUGACCAGCGAAUAGGCUCUAUGUCAAAAGCCCACGACACUAUCCAUAGAAGGAAGCAGCUCAUUGGUCUUCCUGCCUUCCUGGCUGGUCGACUACUCCAGGUUUUAGUGGCCGACUUGUUUAGUUUCAAUUUUUUUUAGCAAAAUAGAUACUGUAGCACUUUUGUUUGUAUUUAACAAAUAUUAUUCAAUUAUAGACUAACUAGGCUCAAGAGAUCUGUCUCGCAAAUUAUAGACAAACUGUAUAAUUAGUUAUUUAUUUUAUUUAUAUUUAGUGUUUCAUGCAUGCAGUGGCGGAGGCAGGAUUUUUGCUUGGGAUAUGCCAAACAAAAAGUUUUCAUAUACAAAUCGGUAAAAUCUAUUUAGCAAUUCGGUAGAAUUUUAUAAAAAAAAUGUCUAACAAUUCGGUACACAACUGUUAAGGCCUUGUUUAGUUCCAAAAUGGACAUUGUAGUAUUUUCGUUUGUAUUUAAUAAAUAUUAUCCAAUCAUAGACUAACUAGGCUCAAAAGAUUUGUUUCGCAAAUUACAUGCAAAUUGUGCAAUUAUUUUUUAUUUAUAUUUAAUACUUCAUAUAUGUGCCGCAAGAUUCGAUGUGACAAAGAAACUUUCAAAAUUUUGCUAAUUUUUUGGGACGUAAACAAGGCCUAAAUGGCAUAAGUCGUGCGUCCAUGGUGUGUUUGAAAGGAGCGUCCGAGAGCAGGUGCGAGACGAAUACCGAGGUCUUGUUUAGUUCUUCUAUGGUCUCCAAUGGGAGGGUUAGCUGAUCCACAUUAGUUAACCACUACUCCACAUUGGGCAAAGUGAUUUUGUUAACGCACGUAGCCACGGUAAAUCAUAAUUAAAGAGCCAUCGUGAUCAACUUUCAUUAUGUGAGCUUGAACAAAAUGAUCAACAUCAAGAGUUGGCCUACAAAUAAUUGUAGAGCUUUGCUAAAUUUCCACACCCUUUCUCCCACUCCAAAAAGCCAAAGUGCUCAAUCCUUAAGCAAAUCAUUCCACCAGGAGAACAAAAGCAAUGUUGUGGUGAUCAACAUCAAGGUAUAUCUGUAGAGCUUUGCUUUUACCGGUUAACGUGCAAUAUGAGUGCACAAUUAUGUUUAGGAUAGAUUUAUUAAGCUAAUAUUGUUAUCUAGUGCCACUAGGUGGGGACUAACAAUACACAUGUGUUAGACUCAGUGACAUGGUGAGGAAGCAAGUGAAAACCUUUGAAAAUGCAAACUCAGUGCUAAAGGUGUUAUUGUUCCGUCUGCCACAUUUGGGAGAUAUCAUAUUUGAAAAAGGGUUUAAGAGAGGGGCUUGGUGAGAUGGUUUGAAUAGUCACUAGAUAAGUCCGGUGGUCAUCAGAGCUUAGGCACACCCACUUUACUAGUCUAGUCAUCAGGCUGUCUCACUCUGUAGUGGGCCACCAAAAAUAUCCAUGCCUCUAGGUCCGAGCACUAAAGUUUAGGCUCCUUCACUUUGGGAGAGAAGGGGACGCUGGACACGAGGCAACAAUCGGCAAUGGCUGCAAAGCACACAAAGUUUAGAAGGAUAAAGGAAGACGACUAGAGGAGGUUAAAUAGUCAUUUCUAUAACUAAAUCAUGAAUCCUAGGCAAAUAAAUAACAUUAAUAAACUAUUUGUCACUUCCCACUAUAACAGCAGAAAUAAAACAACAGAGAUAAUCUAUUUUCAUAACAAUACAAUAAAAGGUACAUGACUCAUUAUUUCCAUGAUGAUUCCAUCCCUACCUGCGAGCGUGGAAAGCCUAAAAAGCCUCUCUCCACGGCCUUCCUAAAAAAAGCCCACCUGGCCACCUGUAGUUCAAUAUAAGCUACUGGAGAAGCUAGGCGUUUGGUCCAUCUCGAACCGCUUUUAAAGCUAAACAGCCCAAUAACCCAUUUCAAACAAGGUCGAAGCCCAAUGAGGCAGGUGGCCCAAAACCUGACCCGAUUCUCUCCCAAUUCUUUUUCCUCGUGUUGGAAUCGGAAUUGGAAUUGGAAUUUGUACGUAGUGGCGGCGAUAUCUGGUUCAGAGUGGGUGUUGAUUCGUGGAGAGCAGCUGGUCGGGCCCAUCCGCGCAGUUGGCUUGGCUUGGCCGCUGCCGCCCGUGCUCGCACCGGCCGCCCCACCUCCAUCUUCCCAUGGUGGUGGUAUCAUCCCCCCCCUUUCCUCUUCCUCCUCCCCACGUGCAACCACCUAACCCCUCUCCCACCGCCCUCCUCGCCUAGCCCGCCGCCACAGCGGCCGUCGACGAGCGCCAUGCCCGCCGCGGCGUCCACCUCCGCGACCUCGCUGCUGCUGGGCGGCGGCAGGCUCCCGCGGCUCCAGCUCCAGUCCCUCCGCGCCCCCGCCAAGCCCCCCUUCCGCCGCCCGGCCUCGUCCCCGUCCACACCGCUCCCCAGAUGCCGCGCCAGCGCGAGCCCCCGCCCUCUGGGCCCCGUCUCCGCCUCCGCCCUCGCGCUGCCCGUGUCGGUGACGGCCGCUCCCCCACCGCAGGUGGAGGAUGGUGGCUGGGUGGGAGGCGCGGCCGCGGCCGCGGCCGUGAGGAGAGUAGCUGUGGCGGUGGCGUGCGGGGCGCUCGCGGCGGCGUGGUGCCGCCGGGCGAUGGCUGUGGGGGCGGCCACGGCGGCGGGAGCGGGAGCGGGGGCCGGGGCCGGGGCGACGGGGGCGGUGGAAGCUGCCGCGGGGAUUGGAGGGAUGGCGCUGCACGGGGGCUGGCCGAGAGUGCUGCAGAUUCUGCAGCUGCUCAGGGAGCAGGGCCUGGUUCUGGCCGCGCUGCUCGGCCUCUCUGCGUUCUUCUCCAUGGCAGAAACUUCUAUCACGACGCUUUGGCCUUGGAAGGUGCGUUCAGCAAGUCUACGGAGACCCAUUUUCUUAAACUCCUGUUGUUGCCAUAGUAAUUACUGUACGUACGCGAAAUGAACUAUGCUUCCAGUUUUGCAAUCGGUUUGGUUCACUGAGCUACGAGGUAGGAUAUUGGGAGAUUUUUGGAUACUUAGAUGAGCAGAUUGGUAUUGGUGUAGUGUUGCUGCUAAGAGGGGAUGCUGAGAUGGGGUGAGUGUCUUAUGGGUACGUCCUUGUAUCAACUACUAUACUCAUUCUAAAUGGGUUUAUGCAAUGAGUAUUUGUAUGAACAAAGCAAACGGAUACGCACUAGCUUAGGCUGUUGGGUUGGGCUGUGGCAUGUGUGGGUCGAGGAUGUGGCGGUUGUCAUGCACAUCCUGCUUCAGCAGUGAUGUGAUAAUUUUGUCUCGCUUGCUGAUGACAUAAUCCACAGCACAAGUUUGUAUUUGAGAAGUGAUGUCACUGCUGGGAGUGUUGCUGAAAGACAUGGGGAAAGCAUUAUUGCUCCUUCCUUUUUUUUGUAGGAUAGAGGGCUGAGCAGCAGGCAUAACUGAUUGACAAGCUGACAACAGCAAGGUGCUUCAGAUAUAAUGACAGUGUGCACAUGCGCUUUAGUGACAUGUUGUGCUAGUGAUCUGUAGGAGAAUUAGGCAGGGAAUCUAUGCAAGGAAAGUUUUUAUUAUUUUGAAACUGGAACUAAUGACACUGGUAUUGGAUUACCGGUCUUACUGACUUUAUAUAUAAUCUCCCUUCACACCUAAUCUCAUCAACUGGAUAGGUAUUUCUGGUUCAGAAUAUUUAUAGCUUUGAACAGAACAUUGGUGCUCUUGUAACUAUCAUUAAAGGGGUCCUGCCUCUUUGUUCAUGUUUAUCAACAUUUAAAUUCAAUUCUAAUUCUUCAAAGACUACAACAAGGUGAUCAAUGUAAAUUGAUGGCUGGAUUCGGUUAAUCACAUGUUGAACUUGCAUUUUAUUUUUAGUAGAGGUUUAUUUGCAAGCACAGGAAUAAUGAAGCCCUAGGUUUAGUGCAUUUUUUCCCUCCAGAGUUGAGCCUAAGGAUUCAAGUUCACUGACACUUAUCAUUGUGGGUUCAAGCAUUUGCACACAUAUUAGCAUAUUGAAAUGGCUAAAGUAUUAGAGGUUGGUGCUAGAGUCUUUCCAUAACAGCGCACUUGGGACUGAAGUUUGAUUCAUGCAAAAUUUUUCAAUUGAAUCAUGCUUGAUGUUCAAAAACUAGCAAGAAUCAUAGAAAUAGCAACACUGUAUUGUGUAAUAGGUUGCAUACCUUUUCCCCCUUUGCAUUUGUUUAUUUUUCUAACGUUGUUUGGAAAUUGCCACAUCAAGGCCUAAUUUUCUAGUGAUCUGCCUAGCGCCCAAUAGCUAGCUAGCCUCUCUACUCAAGCAUUGAGGCAUCACCCCCUUCUACCCACCUAGGGCAUUUUCAGAUCAGUGUUUUGAAACUUUGCUUCGUAGUGGUACUCUUUUCUUAUUGUAACUGACUGUAUGCUGAGAGCGAAUAUCUAUAUGCUGAGACUUUGCUGAUUUCUUUUUUCCUUUGCAUUAGGUUCGUGAACUAGCUGAGAAGGAACCUGAGAAUGGUGUUUUCAAAAUGCUCCGAAAUGACGUCACUCGUUUCCUGACAACUAUUCUCAUUGGCACAACGUAAUCCAUGGCAUUUCUAAGUUGUGCAUCACUCAUUGCAAUUUUGUUUUACUAACCCUAAACCCUAAUCUCGGGCAUAAUUUGUAUGAAAUAGUGUGGUCAACAUUGGCGCAACAGCAAUUGUUACUGAGGCAGCAACAGCAAUGUUUGGUGAAGCAGGUGUUAGUGCAGCAACAGGUGUCAUGACAGUAUGUCUCCUGUCUCAUACUGGCCUUCUGCUCUUGUGUAAGUGUUCUUUAAUCUAACUAUGGAGCACCAUUUUUUAGGUUGCCAUCUUACUUCUUACAGAGAUCACUCCCAAAAGUGUUGCAGUCCAUAAUGCCACCGAGGUCGCUAGGUUUGUGGUAAGGUGAGAGAUAUCAAGUAUAACUUAGUUUCAAACAUGUUUAUUUUGAGUACUGAACAUUGUGCAUUUGUUGCGAUAUAUCAGACCGGUCGCAUGGCUUUCGCUGAUCCUCUAUCCAGUUGGGCGGAUUGCUACUUUUCUGUCUAUGGGAAUGCUAAAGAUUCUAGGCCUGAAAGGGAGAAGGUAAGACUGUAAGAGUAUGUAUAAUACUCUAGUUCUUGAUCAACUAGAAGAUAAAUUCUUUGAAAAUAUGCCAACUCAAUAAGCUCAUGUUAGUCAUAGAUUAUAUCCCCCAUUAGUUAUGAUAUGCUUUCAAGAAGGAUACACAAACAAUAAAUUAAUUCAUGCCACAAGAACCACACAGAACUCUUUUUUAAGAGCAUAUGGCUUGCUCUGCGUAGUGGAUAUAACCAGGGAAGCACAAGGAUUGAGUUUCUAGGUGUGUGUGGGUUCUGCUCAGGUGGGCAACUCUAGCUUCAUCCAUCUGUAUCUUUUUCUUGAUGAAAUGGCAUGCAGCUCUUUUGCGUCAUUCGAGAAAAAAUAACCAGGGAAGCACACUGAUUGAGUUCCUGGUUCCUGCCAAAUAAAAUCUCACCUGUUUUCUUUUAAAAAUGGAUUAAACUUGUAUAUUACUAGAAUUCAAGUACAAAUGAGAUGGUACAACAUGGACUAGAUUAGACUAGUUUGAGUAUGUGUUGAGUCUAGUUUAUAGGGUGAUAGUUGUACUUUCUAAAAUUUCUAUAAUUAGUAAAUAGUGCAGUGACUAUAUUUUUAAUCAAUAGAUGACCGUUGACACUAUUCCAAGAAUUGCAUAUCAUCUGUUAUUGUUCAUGAAGGAUCUAAUUCUAGUUUGAAUUUGCUAGAAACUUAUUGAUUGCUUUCUGUAUAAUUUAGUUUACAAAUUGAAUUUAGUAUCUGAUAUUGUAAUACAAUACACAUUUGUAUGUUAUUUUUUGCAUUUUUUUUACAAAAUCCAGUACUCAAGUACAUUGAUUUGCUAUGUCUUUUAGUUACUACAUUUGUAUAUGUUUAACCAAUAUACAAUUGAGAUUCCUAUAUAGAUAAGAUUUAGUUUUUCUUUUUCAUAACUCUUGACAUUUCUGGAGAUCUACUUCUGAAUCUUGUGCAUCAUAUACACUUCUUUCCUCAGUGAACCAUAUGUUACUGAAGAUGAACUGAAGUUAAUGUUACGAGGAGCAGAGUUGAGUGGUGCAAUUGCAGAAGAUGAACAGGUUAGACAAUCUAGUAUAUGGAGAUGCCCAUAUAUUGUGCUGCAUAUUUCCUUCUUUAUUCUUUAUGUUUCUGUGUACCUCACAGCAAGAUUUUGUUAUCCAGUGCAAUCUAGGCAAAGCCUUUACUUACAAUUUUUAUAUCAUAUAGAAAGCUGACUACUUACAUAAAUAAAGAGUGAAUUAAUGAAAUUUCAGGAAAAUAGUAACUAACGUUUUUGCAUGAUUUUAACUGCUAAUUUAAUGUUUGUACACCAUCUCAUCACAUAUAUCCAGAAUUUGAAAAGCAGUAUGGCCCCAAAGGUUUGAGUUAGAUUAUACUGUUGCAGACUAGGAUUUUGCCUCUUGAUAGUUUACUAGCACACUUUGGCUACUUCUUUGUUUUCUUGAAAACGCAGGAGAGCUGCACUUCAUUAUAUUAAGAGGAUAAAGGGCAAGAGCCCGAACAACCCCACAAACACCAUACACACACCACACACAUCACACACUCACGCCCCAACAGAAAUGUUACAUUCGCGCCCGUAAGAAAACACACAACGCGACCACUACUAGGCUAAACAUUUCUAACUAUCGGGGAGGAGGGCAGUCAAGAAUGAUAGCUCUCGAGCUGCUGCCAUAGACCAUAAACGGCGCUCCUCGCCUGCUAUGAUCAGAGCGCCAGCAAGGUUUGGAGCUGCUCCAUCAAAGACACACCCAUUGCGAUGGUUCCAUAUAGUCCAAGCUCCGAGCAUAACAAGAGAAUUAAUUCCUUGCCUUGUCAGCCCAUCAGCAGUGCUGCUAGCCUUCUCCCACCAAGCAUGGAAGGAUAAUUCUGUAAGCUGAGGGGACAAAAGCCUGAUUGAACCAAAAUUCUCUUGUGAACACACAAUGGACAAGUAGAUGGUCGAUAGUCUCCUUUUCAUGGUCACAAAGGAGGCAAUUCUCCGGAUGAGGUAACCCUCGGCGUGCUAGACGAUCAGCUGUCCAGCACUUAUUGUGCGACCAGCCACAUAAAGAAACGGCAUUUGGGCAGCACCCAUGAUUUCCAAAUCUUUUCCCAUGGUCCAAAAAGAGUAGAUCCGAAAAAGAAGCCUUCAUAUGCCGAUUUAGCCAAGUAUUGUCCAUUAGAGGAGAGCCUCCAUAGGUGCUGCAGCUGAAAAUCCAGAAGUAGAUCCCACCAUAAGUGAAAGUAGUCAACAAACCCACCAACUGUGAGCGCUCCUUGUAUGUCCAAAAUCCAAGCCCGGUUAGUAAGGGCAUCCUGGACAGUAUGCUGCUUAACCCUCCUUUUAGGAGUAGCCACAAAAAGUCGAGGGGCAAGAUCUGCAAUGCAUUGCCCAUUGAUCCGAUCUGUCCAGAAAAGAGUGUUUGCACCAUCCAAUUUCAGAAGUUACUGCCACUGAGUAGAAGGCUCUUACUUGCUUCGGCACAUGGAAUGGUAGAGCAGCCCAAGGACAAUGAGGUUCUGUUUUCUGCAGCCAAACCCAUCUCGUGCGCAAGGACCAGCCAAGGGUUUUUAAAUCUGAAAUUCCCAGGCCUCCAAGCUCUGGUGGGCCACAGACUUUGACCCAAGCCACAAGACAAUGACCACCUUUUUGCAUAUUUUCGACCCCUCCAAAGAAAGCCACGCCAAAUUUUAUUUACCACUUUGAUAGCCAUGGAGGAAAGUCGAAAGCAAUAGCUAAGUAAAUGAGCAUUCUCAGUGAGAACUGAUUGUACUUGAACCCUUCUUCCAGCCCUUGUCAUUAGGUCUGCCUUCCAGCCAGGAAGUUGAUCUGCAGUACGAUCAAUAAUAGGCUGCACUUGUUUCUUUAGGGAGAGGGGCAGACCUAAGUAUUUGCAUGGGAAAUCCGAGAGGGGCACACCUAGCUAGUUUCUUUGGCUACUGUUAUCCUUUAGGUAUUUUGCAGAACCUUUCCAUAGCAAUCCCAUUAAUCUUUAGGAAGCGAUCCCAUUUGUUAAAGCCCCUGCAGGCAACUUUCAAGUUCAUUAUUCUCGAUCACAGGUAGUCAUUCUGCAUAUUUUUCCCUCAGAAUCAUCAUAAGAAUUGGGUUAAGUGGAUAGGUCAGACUAUAGCAUGGAAAUACAUAAGUACUGAUAGGUUGUUGAAACUAUCUAAGACUACAGAUUUAUCGUGUCAAUUUGUCACAAAUAACAGAUUUUAGCUGAUGAAAUCAGUACUUCUGCAGUACAUAGAAAUACUAAAUGUGUAGUUUUAGUUUUGCAAAAACAAGGACACUAAAUUUAUAAUUCUGUGAUAAAACUUCUUAAAUCUGUAGUUUUGUGAUAGCAUAGCCCACUCACACAUAUACAAAAAAAAAGAAAAAGAAAAAAAGGAACCAUAUAGUUAUUUAUGUGCUUAGAUUCUAGGCCCUAGAACUAGAACCUAUAGCUGUGUUACACUAUUAUGAAUUCCUAGUCCGUGCCUGCUUGUGCAGGACACUUUUCUACUUGAUCAGCUAAAGUCAGCACCUGAGUCUUUUAACAGGAUAUGAUCGAGAAUGUCCUGGAAAUUAAAGAUACACAGGUGAGGGAAGUAAUGACGCCUUUGGUGGACGUAGUUGCAAUUGAUGCUAUUGCAACACUUAUUGAUUUCAAAAACUUGUGGGAAACUCAUCAGUACUCUAGGUAUUGUCAACUAUUAUUGUCGCGUGUAUUUUCAAGUCUUAUCACUGACAUCUGCUGCUAUUUGUUAUUUCCAGAGUUCCUGUAUUUGAGGAGCGCAUAGAUAAUAUUGUUGGAAUUGCAUAUGCAAUGGACAUGCUUGAAUAUGUUGAAGAGGUAUGUCUCUUGUUUACCAUUUAAUGUAAAACUUAAUCACAGUGAGUCUUAUUUGCUCCACAUGAUGCUUCUCUAAAGGGAAAGUAAAAGGUGUAUUUUUCUUUUGAAGGUUGAGAAGCUGAAUGAAAUCACUGUUAAGAAAAUCGCACAUAUGCCUACAUACUUUGUUCCAGGUAAUUUUUAGUAACAUUGUUGGAUACAAGUAUCAUGAUGAACUAAAAGAAGGCAUCUGUCAGUAGUUAUAGGGUUGGAUGUUUUUCCACAACAAUUAAUCAUUUCUGCCACAUGUUUUCUCCCAUCUAUGCAUCAUGGAUGUAACAUAUGAUACUGUUUCAUCUGGCAGAUUCAAUGUCUGUUUGGAACCUAUUAAGAGAGUUCCGGAUCAGGCAGGUUCAUAUGGCAGUGGUCCUUAAUGAAUAUGGUGGAACUAUUGGUGUAUGUCCCUAUGAAACCCAUUUUUUAUACUUUACAAACUGGACACAGUUUAGUACUUGUUAAUAUUCUUGUUAUGCUUUCAUCCAAGGCUAGUUGCUCAAUUGAGACCAUUUUGACUUAUGGCACACAACGAGGUUCAACAUUGUUUACUCCAAUCAAUUUUUAGUUGUAACUUCCAAGCAUGCUAGUUAGUUUGCUAAUAAUUGAUGAAUGCUAGUCAGUACAUGGUGACAUUUUGAUGGCCAUUUAUUGGCAACACUACUGGCUUUUGUUCCACAAUGGUCGUGUUUUUAGCACAAGCAUGUGGUGCGAUGCUUCAAGUGAUCUUGCUGCACAGCUUAUGUAACUGCAGCAAUGGGGCACUUUUCAUCUGUUGCAGUAGCAGUCCCUGUUGUUCAUGGUUUGUUUCCUUUUAAGAUAUACCCCACACAUAGAGAUUAGUUAUGCUCCAUGCAGCAGAGAUUAUUACUUUCCACAAGUUUAGAGAUUGUUUCUUAGGAAGUAGUUAUGCUCACAGUUUGUUCAUCAGUUUCUGUUUUCAGAAGUAGUUGAUGAGCGAUGAACAUGUUUUGAUUAUGUUUGCUGCUGAAAGGAUAAUUCUUUAAGAUGUUUUUCUCAUUACUGAUGCUCAUUGGUAAAAGUUGCAAAUGAUUGGACAAAGCUACUACCCGUGAGCUUCCUUUGUCUCACAUACCCUUCGAGCAAUUACGCUUUAAUGUAGCAAUAUCUAUCCAUUACUUGCAGCAACUAAGUCCUAUUGUAUUCAGAAAUGUUUAUUAGAACAGUUUGUAAUUUCAUAUGUUUAUCACUGCAUGGGACAUUGGGAAUUACUCUGACCUUUGGCCAAAAAAAAAUGCAGAUUGUAACACUAGAAGAUGUAGUGGAAGAAAUAGUUGGUGAAAUAUUUGACGAGAAUGAUUCCAAGGUGAUUAUUUCUGGAAUUUUUUAUUUCAAAUCGCAAGUGGGUGUUCAGUGCCAUACAUAUGCAUGCUAUUAUUUUCUAUUUCUUUUUCAAAAUUAUUUCCCCCUUUCUUUUGGUUUAUUAUUCCCUUUUUGCCUUGUAACUAUCGUUCUUAUAUUACAUAACUGACUUUUCAUAUGUUGGUAAUAAAUAAUGAUAUGCUAGCAUUUGAACUUACGAAAUUUAGUGGGCCAAACAUACUGAGCCAUGCCAAAAAAGACAGGCAAAUCAUACAGUCAUAUUUUAGCAGCAGCAGUGCAUUAGCGCGGUGGGUACUGAGCCGGAGUUUGCAUGUGCCUGAAGGUGGCUGAAUGAAUAAGGUGGAUAUUACCCUACCCGCACCCAAAUCAAAAUGUGUAUUUUAUUUCUACCCAUACCCUCCCCAAUUAAUGCGGGUGUGGAUUUGAAUAUGGGGAUUGAAUAUCCAGCGGCAGGUAUAAAGAUUAGAUCUCCUGCCUCAGUGCUUCUCCAAGAUCUGGAAGCAGCUGCUUCACUCCUAUUUUCUGUAUCCUAGUCAAAACAAAGGAUUUUUCCAUGUAGCAAGCUAGUUGCUCUUUGUCAUUUGCUUAGGCAGUCUCUCAAUUCCUUCUGCUACUCUGUUUUUCACCCUUUCAGGAGGAAAUCCAGAAGAAAACAGGCUAUAUAGUGAGGCGGGGAGAUGGAACAUUUGAUGUUGAUGCAAAUACAUCAAUAGAUCACCUCUCUGAAGAGCUUGGUAUCAAAAUACCAGAGGUAUUGUUUCUCAUUUGAUCUUAGCUUUCUCUACAGUUGCUAUGCAUUCCCUUGGACAUGUGUAUAUUUAAGGAAGGUAUGGCUCGGAAAAUAGUAGAUUGAUUAUGAGUAGUACAAAAGGGUAGGCAAGGAUGAUCUGGGAUUUAUAGAACAAUACCCAAUCAGGGAGAUCCUUGCCUAAUAGCUAAUCAACUACAUAAAACCCAUGGAGGCAGGCUUAGGUGCCAGGGCCCAUGCGGCCAGCCCAAUAGCCCUCUGGAAACUCCAUUCUAACAUAUAUGUUGGAGUGGACACUGUAUGAUGAUCAUCGAAAUGUGAGUUCCAUCAUUUAGAGAUGCCUGGUUUGCAGAACCUAUACAGAUAUAACGUUAUUAUAUCUAUUUUUUGGUGGAAACUGGACAUUUAAUAUUUAGGUCAACAAAAUAUUCACAAAUGUUCUGUUUGUAAAAUAUGCCCUUGGUAGUCAUCAUUUAUAUGGUGCUCUGUAUUUCUGUCAUGUUUCUCGUAGAUUGGCUGAUAAUCUUGAGACACUUGGACACUAUCUUUUGGCAGGGGCAUCAGUAUGAGACGGUGUCUGGUUUUGUCUGUGCAUCUUUUGGCUAUAUUCCAGAAGAAGGUGGGAAAAUGCUUGUGAUUCUUGAAAAGGAUUACAGAGAAGAAAACGGUGAAUAUCAGGAGGAAGGUUCUGAUCGCCAAGAUGAUAGAGAAAAAACUCAAGCUUACGAACUUGAGGUAAUUGUUACAACUCCUUGUGUACUCUGUUUGCUCAAGAGUUCUAGUACCAGGUCAAUUAUUAUAAUGCGAUUAUCUUGUCAUCGCUAGAAAUCUUUACUAGUAUAUAUAACUAUUAUGAAUUUUCCUUCAUUACUUGAAAGCUGAAAGACACCACAAAAGCUUCAAUUUUCUUUGUUGAUGCAAUACCAUGAAACCUUUUUUGUUAAAUAACUCUCAUUAGAACCAAUUUUCCAUACAGGGCAUUUGGUUCUUAGAUCAUUUUAUAGGAUAUUUCGUACUAUAAGUAAGAACCAACUACUAUCCACAAUUACCUCUACAUGCUUGUUUGUGCAUAUAAAAAGACAACAAUACUCAGAAGGUUGCUGUAACAUGUCCACACUCCGCUUUUGUGGUGCUAAUACUACCGAACAUUUGUAAUUGCUUUUUUUAUUUGAAGCUAAAAAAAGAAAGUAUACAAAAACUAAUAGAUAAGAAAACCAACUACUCAAUUGUCAAUUCAGAAUUCAUACUGUGGGUUAUAAGGUUAUUUCAGUGAAAUUGUUUUGGUAUUGGUACACAACCUUUAUUAGUUGGUGCAACUCCCAUUUCCGGAAGUCUUCGUACACUUUAAUUGAAUUGCUGCAGCCCUAGGAAUCCAUAGUUUCUGUUUCACAAUUCACCCAAAGUUUCAUUCUUUGUUGCAGAAUUAAAUAACCUUCUGUAGUUGUUUUCACUACCUUUAUUACCUGGCUUCUCUUGCUCACAGAUAGUGGAAGCUAAUGCAAGGAAGGUGGGCAAAGUCCUAUUUAAGCCAAUAAGCAGUGAAUGUGUUGGUGUUGACAACAAGGGUGUGAACCGCCUGGUCUCCAAGAAGAUCAUCAAACGGAAGAAGCAGGGCUAUGAUGAUUCCUCCGGUGACGAGUAUCCAGAUACAACAGAGAAUGGCUGCCCUGCUGAGGCACUCUCCUACUCGGAUGGUAACAGUGCCUUGUUGGAAGAUGCAAGCAGUUCUAGUGCCAAGAGGUGACAAUAAAGGAACUCCAAGACCAUCGUACUACUGGUAAUAAUUACAGCACACCGUCACCGGUCCUAAUACCCCUUGUUACAACAGAAGAAGAUGAGAAGAACAUAGUAGUAGGCUACCCAAAAAAAAAAACUGCGAGAGCAACACCAAGAGGUUAACAGCAGUUUAAGGCAUUGCAACAUUUUUCAGUAGCAGGAGUAGCAGUAGUAGCAGUCUAGAGGUGCAGCGAGGUGUCGACGUCGACUUCACCAGAGACAUGUUUGUAGUUGUAGGUCUUACUGGGCCACAGCUCCACCGCAAUGGGGUCGCUAUCGCCGUGGAGCUGGAAGCUUUUGCAUUCACAGACAGUGGUUGGCACGGCCGGGAAUAAGGAGGCUGCGGCGGCAACAGCGGCAGUGGUUUCCCGCAGCGGCCUGCACGGGUAGAGCAGCUCCGGGUGGAAGAACCACUUGACGGGCAUCUCCCUCGGGGAGGCGGUGGCCGCAGGGCGGGGGGCGAGCACGUGGAGAAGCCUCUCCUCCCGCUUCUCCCUGAUCCUCUCCAGCUCCCUGAACCUCUGCUGCAGCAGGGCGAUGGAGGAGAACAUCACCUGGCCUUCGCUGCUCUGCACCCCCAUGAUGACUGGGCGAGAGGGGGAGCUCUCACUCCAGCUCCGAGUUUCAGUUACGUGUUCGUGUCGUGUGUAUCUCACUCAAGCGUCUGUCUACUUCGCUCGGUGUGUGUGGGGGUUUUGCUUGCUGCUUGAAGGGGUGGUGGUCUUGGGCAUGUGCGUAUUUAUAAGCCGCAAAGUUUUGUCACGGCGCAGGGCGUCGUCUUGUGGUCGUCUUGCAAGUUGCGCCAAUUCUUUCAUCUUCAUCUUCCAUUAUGUGAUGCUAUGCCUGUUUGUGUGUUUUGUUUAUGGGCUGAUUGAAAAACAAAAGAGGCACUAUUGGUAUGAGAGAGAAUCUGGGAGGAGAAUGUCACGUCGCCCGAGAAAGGAAGUGGGAGGCGUGCAGGUGAGAGAAUAAGGGGCGUGGCGUGGGAGAGUCCAAGGAAAUGGGGCUGUGGACGCUUGCGCUUGUUCCGUUCCUGGCGGUGGGAAUCGCCGUGUGCCGUUGUGAUGUGCGGGGUGGCCAUGAUUGCGCCUCUGUUUGUCUGUCACCUUUUUCCCUUGCGCAUUGCUGCAGCAGCAGGGCAGGGGAGAGGUCUGCAUGCCCUGCCAUGCCCUGCCCUGCUGCUCGUACUAGCUCGCUACUACUCCCUUCCCCCUCUCCAUCCAAACGGGCACUGCGAGCUUUUCCUGGUCUAUAAUGGCGUCGUUGGAGCUGUAGUACGUGCUGUUCGUAGCAACUGUGGGCAGCGCUUUCAGGUGUGGAACUGUGCACUCCAUGAGCCAUUGUCUUCGUUUGCGUGUGUGAACGUGUUGGAGAGUCUGGGAGCAGAAAGUCUGCGUUGAACGUUACUUCUUUGGGUCUUUGACUGGUGCGUCCAUAGAUCUGUGAAUGGGAGCGCUGAUUGCACGCUGCGUAGUACAGUGCGUUCGAGUAACGCUGAGACGGCGUGCUGCUUUGAAGUUUCAACUUUUGGUUAAUUCAGGAAAGUUGAUUGAUCUUAUGUUUUUUGACGGCCAGGUAAACACGGCCAAUUGCACCGGCGUCAAAAAGACCUCUGUCAUCCGAUGCUUUGGACAGUAAUUGAGAUAUUCGUAACAAAUGCUUCACUACCCGAAGAGAAAACUAGUUUUCGUUGGUUUCCGCAUUUUGUGAAAAUAAGAAAGGGCAUGUUUGAGUCAGAGUCGGGUUAUUAUAAUUGGAUUAUCGACUCUAAUAAUUAGAGUGCUAGAUUUUUUGUGGUGGAACCUAUCCAUUUCUUGCCUAGCCAGCCAACUAUCAUGAUGCUACAUGGUAUUUAAGUAACGACCAUUUUCUCAAAUGGUCAAGGAUUAUAUUCUUCUUUGAUUUUUUUUUCCCUUCAAGUGGCCUAGGGUUUUGUAGUCUAAUGUGAACAAUAUCAGGUGAAAACAAAAUAGCAUCAAAGAAUAGAUAGCCAAAAUGCCUAACGAAAAGGAAAAUUGUGGGUUACAUGUCUCAUGAAUUAUUUGAUGAAGUAGAAUAAGAUACGUUCGGUUAUUUGAGAGAAAAAAAAACUGCACAACAUAAAAAAAUAACUGUUUGCCUAGUUGGCUAAGAAAAAAUAUAGUGGGCUCCAUGGCUCCUAAGACUCUUUAAAUAUCAUGUAAAUGGAUAUAAAAGAAGUCAAUAAAUCAUUCUGCUGAUAUUGACUGAAUUAUUUGCUAUCAACAAUUAUCCAAAAAAGAUUUCUUUAAGAAUAAUAUUUCUACCAUGUAAAACAAGAAGAAAAAGACAAAUUAAUCGGAACUUUUGUUUGUGGCUGGAACUAUUGUAAAUGUCAUUGUUGAGUUGAGAUAUUUUUUUUUUGAAGUUCCCUUUUUGCGAGGAAUGAGUAAUCUGAACGUUAUUUGUUUGUGGUUGUUGAUUCCCUGGAGCUGUUAUAGAAGUCAUUAUUGAGUAGAGAUUUUUUGAAGUUCCUUUUUGCAACGAAUGAGUAAAUAGUUGCAUAGAUGUUUGAUGGUAUUAGCAUACUCUGCUUCUAAAAUAAUGAAAGGGAUUUUCCGUUACUAUUUAGUUGUGGACUGAGGCCUGAAGAAGUAUGUUUUGAAACUCGGAAUUUCAUGGAGGAUUUGUAGGAAUCCCAUAUAUAAUAAACAUGUCAAAAUUAAUCCUCCUAUAUUUUCUUGGUCAUUUUCUAGAGCUAGGCUCAUUUAUCUUUAAUUUGUCUAGUGAAGAGUAUAUGUAUAUCCUUUGCUCCAAACAUGUAGUGGUGAGUGGAGUUUACUAAUAUUAUUAUGUGUAGUUAACCUAGAACUAGAAGCUUGGUAACUGAGCCUUAUCUAAUCUGGCCCUAAACUAACUUAUCAUCCAAACUGAUCAGUUGGAGUCUUGUGACGAUGAUAUCUCUGGUUUGUUGUGGAACGGGACUAGUACUGCCGGACAUAUUAUACAUUGGAUGCAUGCGACAUAUAUACAGUGUUGAACUUGUUUAUAUUAAUUUAUCCUGGAUAGCCAAUAGUAGCCCAUAACAUUAACAUGCAACAUAGUAUAUGCAUUUGCAUGUACUGCUAGUUCCCUGCUACGUACGAUCCUGACAGUAGGCACCUAAUCUUUCCAUGCCCCAAUAUUUUACCGCCGCUGUCGCUUCCAUUCUAGAGAGAGAACAAUAUGACCAUCUUGUAAAACAUUCUAGAGAAGAGAUGCAUGGAGAGUAUGGCAAUAAUUUAAGCAGAUUGAUGGGAGCGAGAUAUUUUUAAAGGCAGAUCAUCGAUUGAUGCAUGGGAGCGAGAGAGCUUAGCAGAGAAAAUAAAGAAGAUUGGUGAUUGGUGAUAGGCCGGGGCAGCCGUGGUGCAGCAGCAGCUAGAACUAGAGAAGCUAAAAGGAAGGCUGAUGGCAGGGCAGGGCAGUAGUUUAAGGACGGGUCCAUGCCUGCAGCUAGCUAGCAUCUAUCGACGUUCCUCCGUUGUCGCGGAGCCGGUGGACGCGAAUGGCAUGCGUGGGUGCACUACCCUGCUGAUGCACACAGCAUGCAUUGCUGCCUGCAUGCGACAUGGUAUACAGCUCCCGGCCGGCGUCUCUCCUCUCCUCUCUUCUCUUCUCUUGUCCAUCCAUCGGCAGCAUACGGUCGGUCACUCGCAGCAUGCAUGCUCCUCUGAUCGAGCUCUGCUGGUGUCGUGUCGUGUCGUCGAUGGAUCGGGGCCGGGUUGGGUGUUGCUGCAUUGCAUGCUCCCUAAAGCGCCGCCCUUGUUGCCAAAGUGAAUGCUGCCGACGACGACCGCCGCGCCGCCCGUCUUCUUUUUCGGCGGAGGGGGGCGGCCGGGCACGGGCACGGGCACGGCACAGUCUUCCGGGCAGGGGCAGGGGCAGCCGGGCAAGCCAACACCUGCUAGCGGACGAGAAAUUGAAUCGAAUGGGAAACAAAGAAAAAAUUGAUGGCUGAUGGCUCCAUCUUUCUUUCUGUCUGUCUGUCUGUCGGUCAGUCAUUUUACUAAUUUAUUUGACUGCGCUACGGAGACGACAGUGUAACAUUUUUAUUUGUAUUUAAUAAUUAUUAUUUAACUAUAGACUAAUUAGGCUCAAAAGAUUCGUCGCGUAAACUAUAGACAAACUGUGCAAUUAGUUUUUAUUUUCGUCUAUAUUUAGUACUUUAUACAUGUGCCACAAGAUUUGAUAUGACGGGAAAUUUUAAAAAGUUUUUGAAUUUCGAAGUGAACUGGUCAAAUAUGCAAUGCUUGUACGUGCGCACUAGUUUAUGCCAAUGAUUCAUUUUUCGCGGAUCCUCCGAAUUUCACACCAUACAGUCAGAAUAUAAUUGCUCCAAGACACGUCAAUUUUGAUGCGUCAAUUUGUGCAUGUGGUUCCUGGCACUACUGGAUCCGGCUUCUUUGCCGAGAGCCGCGAGCCCUCGGCAAAUGCCUAAAAGCCCUCGGCAAAGGCUUUGCCGAGGGCCAUAAACGCCCUCGGCAAAGCCUACGGCGCCGUCGAAAAACGUCAAUAUUGACGUCGUCUUUGCCGAGAGCCAUGCUGGCAGGCUCUCGGCAAAGAUUCUUUAUUUUUUUUAAAAAAAGCCUUUGCCGAGAGCCCUGCAGGAAGGCUCUCGGCAAAGAACCCCUUUGCCGAGAGCCAGACAUCCAGGCUCUCGGCAAAGAACCCCUUUGCCGAGAGCCAGACAUCCAGGCUCUCGGCAAAGCUGUAGUUCUUCUGAACCCGGCUUUCUAUCUUUGCCGAGUGCCAGCCAUCCAUGCUCUCGGCAAAGCUGAGAAUUUAGUUUUUUUUUCUGUUUUUUAUCUGUUUUUUACAUGCACAGCCACAUAUGUAUAUAUAUAUAUCACAAAUCCCUUUGUCUAUAUCACAAUCCACAUAUAUAUCACGCAUGAAACAUAUCGAAGUCCACAGAUAUCACAAAUCCACAUAGAUAUGACAAAUAUAACAUUACGUCCAACAUAAACCAUAAGUCACCACAAGUUCAUAACAUAAACCACAAGUCCACGUGAAUAUCACUCCUCGAAGUCGCUAGCGCCUCACCCCUAGUGCUGUGACUCUGACCUGUCGUCGCCGUGGCCUCCGUCGUGUCCCGAGCCUCCAUCUGGCCAAGCCGACCAGGGUGAGUGCCCCCCAGGGUGUGUAGAGCUCGCACCUGCCCACGGCGCCCACAUGGCCUGCCCUGGCACCGACGGGUACGGGUACGAGUACCCGGGGCGCGGAGGAGGGCUGCCGGACAACCCGGGGUGGCCGUGCUGCGGAUGGGCACCAGGCCACGUGUGCUGCGUACUUGGGUGGCCAUAAGUAGUAACCUGCCACCCACUCCUUGGAGAAGGGGUCGGGUUCGAACCCCACGACUGAUGCUACAUAAUAUAAAAGCGAACUCAUUAGUAUCUGCAGGACGGCCACACAAGCCAAAGCAAUAGACAAACAUAUAUACACUCACCGGACUGCCUGCAGGGGCAGGAACAGGGGGUGGAACAGGGGGUGGAGCGAAGAGCGAGGCAGGCAGCGGAGGCGCUGUAGAGCUGUGGAUGGACUGGAAGUAUCCGACUAGGUCCGAGAUCUGACGCUGCGUGUGCUGCUGCUGUGCCUCCAUGUGGCGCCGAUGGGCCUCGUCUCUGGCCGCCAGCGCGGCCGCCAGCUCUCGCCGAUGAGCCUCCUGCAGCUCGUCCUGCCUGGCCCGCAACUCCUCUAGCUGCGACUGCAAUAUUACACCCGCAAUGGUUAAACAAUGCAAAAGGAGAUGUAUAUAUGUAAAAAUAAUGGACGAUGGAUAAAGCUGUAGUUACCUGCAUCGUAGCUAUCUGCUGCACGGAGCUCGGCUGACGAGGCCGUAUGGGGACGUCGGAGGUCGAGCUGCUCCCCUGCCGAACCUCGCGGAGCGUGGGUACGGUGGCCGGGUUGAUUGCGCUGUGGGCAAUCAUGUACCGGCCGUGCUGCUUCCCUCCUCCCGUCCUCAUGAGCAAGUCCGUGUCCGAGACCCUUUGCCGUGGGCCGUCCAGUCUGGCUCUCGGCAAAGACCCUUUGCCGUGAGCCUAACGCGCAGGCUCUCGGCAAAGAACUGCUGACUUUUUUUAUUCUUUUUGAAUUUAGAGCUGAGUUUUUUUUUUUGUCCUUGUGACUCAAUUUCUAAAUACAUUUUAAAAUUUGGCAUUAAUUUGACUUUUUUUGCUAUAUUUAACUAAUUAAUCUUGUUUCUUUAUAUUUUUUCACAUAAUUCAAAUUUCAACUGUAGGUACAUGAAAUAUUACAACUCAAUGAUUCGAAAAAUGAUAGUCAAGAUAUUUGGUGUACGUUGAGGUCGUAACCACAACCACACAUGAAAUCUCAACCCUCUCGCUAACAUAACAUGUCAAGGAAUGUGAGGGAAAAUGGAUUUAUAAUUAUAUAAAUUUCAAAUAAACUCCAAAAAUCACGAAACUUGGCGACGUGUCGUGUUAUCGCAUGUGGAGGCUGUGGUAAAAAAUUCAUAAGGUUCCGAGCAAGUUGCGACACCGGAUGUCUAAAACCCAGACAUCUCCACAUGUUAUCGAAUGUGAUCACAUGCGGAGAUGUCUGGGUUUUAGACAUCUCGUGUCGCAACUUACUCGAAACCUUAUGAUUUUUUUACCACAGUCUCCACAUGCCAUAACAUGACACAUCGUCAAGUUUCGUGAUUUUUGGACUUCAUUUGGAAUUUAUAUAAUUAAAAAUCACUUGUACGACACAUGGAUGGUCAUGUUUUAUAUACAAGAAAUUCAAACUCUUGGGUGAGUUUAUGGAUACAACAUCAAAAUGCAGUCUUGAACAUGAGUAUAAUUUUUUGAAUGACUAUAUUUUAUUAUUUCAUGCUCCUACAGUUCAAAAUUACUUUUUCGAGAAAAAUACAAAUAAAAUAAUUUAAUUAAAAAAUAUAGCAAAAUGUUAUAAAAAGCUCUCAAAUUUGAACAUGUGCUUAUAUACAAUAUGUAAGGGUUACAGAAAAAGUUUGAGUACAAAACUAAAAAAAAUCUUUCUUCUUUGCCGAGAGCUUGACAAGGCACUUGGCAAAGGCCUCCUCUUUGCCGAGAGCCUAACGCCGUGGCUCUCGGCAAAGGUGACGACAACGGUUGCCGUUACCAGCGCUGCUCCUUUGCCGAGAGCCUAUCUUUGCCGAGAGCUAGGCUGUCGGCAAAGCUAGCCUUUGCCGAGGGCUUGCCUUUGCCGAGAGCUUGACCAUCGGUAAAGUUUCUUUGCCGAGGGUCGUUUCUGACUGUCGGCAAAGGCAGUCUUUGCCGAGGGCUAGCUCUCGGCAAAGCUGAGCCCUCGGCAAAGCUCUCGUUUCCUGUAGUGUGGGCUUUGAAUUGAUCGAUGGCAAAAAGCCGUAAUGGAAGCACGUCGCGUCUUGAAUGCAUGCACUAUAUAGGAAUAUAGCUACACAAAAGAAGAGAAAUAAUGACACACAUAGUAGUAGCUAGCUAGUAAAGUGUGUAUGUAAGGCCUUGUUUAGUUCCCAGAAAAUUUUGCAAAAUUUUUCACGGUCCCCGUCACAUCGAAUCUUUAAACGCAUACAUAAAGUAUUAAAUAUAGACGAAAAUAAAAACUAAUUGCACAGUUUGGUCGAAAUAGACGAAACGAAUCUUUUGAGCCUAGUUAGUCCAUGAUUGGAUAAUAUUUGUCAAAUACAAACGAAAGUGCUACAGUGUCGAUUUUGCAAAAUUUUUCGGAACUAAACAAGGCCUAAACCUAAAAGCCCAUGCAUUAUUGCUUUUUAAAAAGUUAAAGCGGUGAUGGAUGGUUUUGUUCAUGGCUCGAGGAGGAUGUGUCCUAGCUAGUUGUUGGUGGGGGAGGUGAGAGUACCUAGGAAAAUUUGCUUACAUUUUCCUGUACAUGCAUGCAUGCAACGCUAAUUGGAUGGAUAUGGUCGGAACAUGCAUGGGUCCACCAUUCACAUCUCUUGGUCCUACACGCACGCCUACUAUUGUGAUGCGUCUCAGCUUUUUAAUGUGCCUGCGUUGCAUGCAUGCAGCUGGGUACGUAAGGACACGCCGCAAGCUGCCCAAACUCUAGCUCUGCUUCCCGCAUUGCAUUGCAUUGUAUCUACCUCGUGGCGCAUUAGGGUUAGAGAGAGAGAGAGAGAGAGAGAGAGAGAGAGAGAGAGAGAGAGAGAGAGAGAGAGAGAGAAGUGUGGUAUAGCUAGCAUGCAUCCAUAUAUAUCCGAUCGACCUGUAGUUCAUGGCACAUUCAUUAGGUUUGGAAGAGUGAGAUCGAGGCAGGACGAUAUGUAGUACGUCGUCGUCCUUCGUAUAAACGGACAUUCGCUCAAUGUUGAAUUGUUGACAGACGACGAUGCGCGCGGCACUUUGUUUGACCAUGCAUGCAUUCAUCCGUGCAUGCAUGGAGCGUCUAUGUGCUUGUCCCUGAAUAAACUAAUUAAUCACUGCACGAACUCGAUCGCCUUGCUGUCAACUUAGCUUAGCUUAUUACAAGUGUGUUAACGACAAGCAAUCAUGGAAAUGAGCUGCAUAUAGACACUGUUCACAAUGCACGUUAUGUUGGAGCACUAGCUAUAGCUAAUUAAUGAGCCAGCAAUUAACAAAACGCCUGCUAAACCAAAAUAUGCAUUUAAGCCAUGUUUCGUUUCCUCCGGUAAAGUUUAACUCCUGUCAUAUCGAGUGUUUGGACACAUGCAUUAAAUAUUAAAUAUAAAUUAUUUACAAAACUAAAAUAAAACUAGAGAGUAAUUUGCGAAAUAAAUCUUUUAAAUCUAGUUAGUCUAUAAUUAGAUACUAAUUGUCAAAUAAAACAGAAAUAUGCUAUAUGCUACAGUACAUCCUUAACCGGCAAGUACAGGCCGGGUGAGGCAUGUCGGAUGCUAGAGAUGGCCAAAUGGGCUAAGCCCAAUAAUACGCAGCCUAAGCACAUAUGGGCCUACUAAAGCAUCGCAUUACAUUAUGGGUCGAGCCACUAUGUGUCUCGUGCCCUUUUUUACCAUUCAAAAUGGGUGCUCUCAGGAUGGAUCAUAAUUAUGCCCCUUUUUAAUUCGAGAGCAAUGUUGAUCAAAUUUCGUCGUAGUUGCAGCACAGCCAAAAAAAAAAACUAACAAAAAGAGCCUGUCAGACAACCCAUGGGCCAUCCCAGCCAGGCAAGCCUGGCCGGAAACGAUCAUCUACAGCACCGGACAAAGCGUCAGAGCCAAUCCUGGCCGUUAAUCACGCUCUGGCCCACAGGUCAUGGCUCAUCAACCAGGCUUAAGUGCUUGCCUCCUUAUUAAUCAAGGAUGCAGCGGUACGAUCCUAUAGAACAGAUCCUGUUCAAGUAAGGUCGU
rnacentral:lncRNA from 1 species